CCUCGCGCCGGGUGCCGGCGUGCAGCACGUACGCGUGCGGGGCGUCCUGCGCGGCCACCUCGUCGAGGCCGGUGAUCGGGUCGCCGGUGCGCGGG
rnacentral:tRNA from 2 species